UACAGAGGGUGCGAGCGUUAAUCGGAAUUACUGGGCGUAAAGCGUGCGUAGACGGUUAUGUAAGUCGGGUGUGAAAGCCCCGGGCUCAACCUGGGAAUUGCAUUCGAGACUGCAUAGCUAGGAUGCGGAAGAGGGAAGCGGAAUUUCCGGUGUAGCGGUGAAAUGCGUAGAUAUCGGAAGGAACAUCAGUUGCGAAGGCGGCUCUCUGGACCAGCACUGACACUGUGGCACGAAAGCGUGGGGAGCAAACAGG
rnacentral:rRNA from 1 species